UUCACCGACAGGCUGGUGGCGAAGUUCGCCCUGCCGACGACGGGGUGGCGGGGCGCGCACUAGCUCUUCGGCGGGGUUCUGUCUCGUCGGCGGGU
rnacentral:tRNA from 1 species